rnacentral:rRNA from 1 species
AACGAACGCUGGCGGCAGGCUUAACACAUGCAAGUCGAACGCCCCGCAAGGGGAGUGGCAGACGGGUGAGUAACGCGUGGGAACAUACCCUUUCCUGCGGAAUAGCUCUGGGAAACUGGAAUUAAUACCGCAUACGCCCUACGGGGGAAAGAUUUAUCGGGGAAGGAUUGGCCCGCGUUGGAUUAGCUAGUUGGUGGGGUAAAGGCCUACCAAGGCGACGAUCCAUAGCUGGUCUGAGAGGAUGAUCAGCCACAUUGGGACUGAGACACGGCCCAAACUCCUACGGGAGGCAGCAGUGGGGAAUAUUGGACAAUGGGCGCAAGCCUGAUCUAGCCAUGCCGCGUGAGCGAUGAAGGCCUUAGGGUUGUAAAGCUCUUUCGUGGGGGAAGAUAAUGACUGUACCCCAAGAAGAAGCCCCGGCUAACUCCGUGCCAGCAGCCGCCGUAACAC